ensembl:miRNA
UGGCGUCUGGGGCCUGAGGCUGCAGAACAUUGCAGCAUUCAUGUCCCACCCCCACCA